rnacentral:lncRNA from 1 species
AUCCUUUUGUCUUUUGUAGAUCUCAUUGCAGGAAAGAAGAAGGAUAAACAAUCCUCUCUGUUCCACAGAGCUGUCACUGAGCUGUCACUGACUACUGUAGAUACGGAGAGUCUUCAUGGAACAGUUAGUCAAGACGCUCGCAACAGGAACCUGCCGUGCGGGCCACUUCUGCACUUCCUGCAAAAGAACAUCAUCGUUGCGGCCCUCGCAGCGGUGGCGAUCCUCGCGGUCAUCGUGCUGUUGCUGUUCAUGUUGGCCACGUACAUCAGGAGGAAACAGCCUAUACAUCCUCCAGCCCAUAUGACGUACAACAUUUUUAUAAUGAAUGGAAAGACGUGGUGGCAGAAAUCUCCCGAAGCGGAUAUCAGAAAAAUCGUAGAGAAACAGAAACAGUUGAGGCCCGAUUCCUGUGCCUAAGCCACGUCAAGGGGCCAGCCAAACCAGGACUCAGAACCAUGCCGCGAGGAGAUUCUGGAUCCAGACACCAUGGAGAGGCCACUGCAUUUCUGGCUGCGAGGAGGUGUAUUCUACAGAAAUGUGUACCUUCUCUUCCCGACCUUGGAUGUACCGAGAACGAGGGCCUCCUCACCCCAGGCUGCCUCUGGUGACAUGGCCUCAUGACCAGUGCAGGAGACUUCGCACAUUUACCCAGAGGGGAAAAAAAAAAUGACAAACGAUGAGAGAUUGACUCAUUUCAUGAAGCACGGAUUGAUUUGUCCAGUCAUUCACUGCAGAGGGAUUAACUGAGCACCUAUUAGGUAGACAACAUCCAAAUACAACGUGGUACUCCCAGAGAAGCCAGGUCUGGGGCCUUCACAGUGGUGGAGGAGAACAGGGCCCCACCAAAUCCCUUUUACCCUUUUCAAGUAGAAAUAUACAAAGAAAUGGAGAAGAGUGUGG